UUCGUCCUACGGGGCGCAGCAGUGAGGAAUAUUGGUCAAUGGUCGGGAGACUGAACCAGCCAAGCCGCGUGAGGGAAUAAGGCCCUACGGGUCGUAAACCUCUUUGCCGGGGAGCAAGGGCGGGGACGUGUCCCGGCCCGGAGAGUACCCGGAGAAAAAGCACCGGCUAACUCCGUGCCAGCAGCCGCGGUAAUACGGAGGAUGCGAGCGUUAUCCGGAUUUAUUGGGUUUAAAGGGUGCGUAGGCGGGCUUUUAAGUCAGCGGUAAAAAUUCGGGGCUCAACCCCGUCCGGCCGUUGAAACUGG
rnacentral:rRNA from 1 species